UGCGCAUGGUAACUGGAUAACCAGCCUGGGCCACGCAUAACCCAGGAGAUUCAGGUUCGAAUCCUGACUCCGCAA
rnacentral:tRNA from 1 species